rnacentral:rRNA from 1 species
UGGGGAAUUUUGGACAAUGGGCGCAAGCCUGAUCCAGCAAUGCCGCGUGCGGGAAGAAGGCCUUCGGGUUGUAAACCGCUUUUGUCAGGGAAGAAGCGAGUUUCUCUAAUACAGAGACUUAAUGACGGUACCUGAAGAGUAAGCACCGGCUAACUACGUGCCAGCAGCCGCGGUAAUACGUAGGGUGCAAGCGUUAAUCGGAAUUACUGGGCGUAAAGCGUGCGCAGGCGGUUAUGCAAGACAGAUGUGAAAUCCCCGGGCUCAACCUGGGAACUGCAUUUGUGACUGUAUAGCUAGAGUACGGCAGAGGGGGAUGGAAUUCCGCGUGUAGCAGUGAAAUGCGUAGAUAUGCGGAGGAACACCGAUGGCGAAGGCAAUCCCCUGGGCCUGUACUGACGCUCAUGCACGAAAGCGUGGGGAGCAAACA